UACGUAGGUGGCAAGCGUUGUCCGGAUUUAUUGGGUUUAAAGGGUGCGUAGGCGGCCCUGUAAGUCAGUGGUGAAAUACUCUAGCUUAACUAGAGGGGUGCCAAUGAUACUGCAGGGCUUGAGUACAGAUGAGGUAGGCGGAAUUGACGGUGUAGCGGUGAAAUGCAUAGAUAUCGUCAAGAACACCGAUAGCGAAGGCAGCUUACUGG
rnacentral:rRNA from 1 species